UACGUAGGGUGCGAGCGUUAAUCGGAAUUACUGGGCGUAAAGCGUGCGCAGGCGGUUUUGUAAGCCAGAUGUGAAAUCCCCGGGCUUAACCUGGGAAUGGCAUUUGGGACUGCAAGGCUCGAGUGCGGCAGAGGAGACUGGAAUUCCUGGUGUAGCAGUGAAAUGCGUAGAUAUCAGGAGGAACACCGAUGGCGGAAGGCAGGUCUCUGGGCUGACACUGACGCUCAUGCACGAAAGCGUGGGGAGCAAACAGG
rnacentral:rRNA from 1 species